rnacentral:rRNA from 1 species
GACGAACGCUGGCGGCGUGCUUAACACAUGCAAGUCGAACGGAAAGGCCCUGCUUUUUUGCGGUGCUCGAGUGGCGAAGGGGUGAGGAACACGUGUGUAACCUAAUCUUGACUUUGGGGUGACGUCAGGAAAGUGGAGCUACUAUCAGAUAGGAGCCCAUCUUGCAUGGUGGGCGGUGGAACGUUUCGGCUGUUGGGGAUGGACGCGCGGCUUAUCAGCUUGUUGGUUGGGUGGUGGCUUACCAAGGCUGUGAAGGUUAGUCGGCCUGAGAGGGGGACCGGCCACAUGAGUACUGAGGUACGGCCCAGACUCCUACGGGAGGCAGCAGUGGGGAAUAUUGCACAAUGGGCGGAAGCCUGAUGCAGCAACGCCGCGUGCGGGAUGACGGCCUUCGGGUUGUGAACCGCUUUCGCCUGUGACGAAGCUGGAGUGACGGUAAUGAGUAAAGAAGCACCGGCUAACUACGUG